GUAUAAAAAAAAAAUACAAAAAAUAACAAAAAAAAAAAAAAAAAAAAAAAAAAAAAAAAAAAAAAAAAAAAAAAACAAAAAAAAAAAAAAAAAAAAAAAAAAAAAAAAAAAAAAAAAAAAAAAACAAAAAAAAAAAGAGCUAAGAGAGUCACUAAAGACAAACCAUGGGUUUGACAAAGCAAGCCAAAGUAUUCCUGUGACUUACCUCAUGUAUACAACCCUUGUAUUGGAAGUAGUUUACCCUGCACUGAAGACACUACAAGUGGAUAAUUUACACAAAGAGUAAAUUAAUCCAUGCAAAGAUUUUGAUUGCUGUUUGCACUGUUUCUGAUACCCAAGAUAAAGUAAAUAUAAAUUUGGUGGUAGAGGGACUUUCUCUUUUCCUUUGUCUGCAGAACACCCAACGUGUUUCCUGGGGGCUGUAUAACAUAGAGUUCUAUAAAUCUAUACAGAC
rnacentral:lncRNA from 1 species